rnacentral:rRNA from 1 species
UGCAAGUCGAGCGGGCCCUUCGGGGUCAGCGGCAGACGGGUGAGUAACGCGUGGGAACGUGCCCUUCGGUUCGGAAUAACUCAGGGAAACUUGAGCUAAUACCGGAUACGCCCAUGGCCUCUGGCCCUGGGGAAAGGUUUAUCUGCCGAAGGAUCGGCCCGCGUCUGAUUAGCUAGUUGGUGAGGUUAUGGCUCACCAAGGCGACGAUCAGUAGCUGGUCUGAGAGGAUGAUCAGCCACACUGGGACUGAGACACGGCCCAGACUCCUACGGGAGGCAGCAGUGGGGAAUAUUGGACAAUGGGGGCAACCCUGAUCCAGCCAUGCCGCGUGAGUGAUGACGGCCUUAGGGUUGUAAAGCUCUUUUCUCCGGGACGAUAAUGACGGUACCGGAGGAAUAAGCCCCGGCUAACUUCGUGCCAGCAGCCGCGGUAAUACGAAGGGGGCUAGCGUUGCUCGGAAUCACUGGGCGUAAAGGGCGCGUAGGCGGCUGAUUUAGUCGAGGGUGAAAGCCCGUGGCUCAACCACGGAAUGGCCUUCGAUACUGAUUGGCUUGAGACCGGAAGAGGACGGCGGAACUGCGAGUGUAGAGGUGAAAUUCGUAGAUAUUCGCAAGAACACCAGUGGCGAAGG